rnacentral:rRNA from 1 species
GACGAACGCUGGCGGCGUGCCUAAUACAUGCAAGUCGAACGCAGUUGCGAACGGGUGAGUAACGCGUAGGUAACUGCCUCAUCGCGGGGGUUAAAUAUUGGAAACGAUAGGUAAUACCGCCUACUGUGAGAUGGACUUGAGUUGUAUUAGCCAGUUGGUGAGGUAAAGGCUCACCAAGGCGACGAUACAUGGCCGACCUGAGAGGGUGAUCGGCCACACUGGGACUGAGACACGGCCCAGACUCCUACGGGAGGCAGCAGUAGGGAAUCUUCGGCAAUGGACGGAAGUCUGACCGAGCAACGCCGCGUGAGUGAAGAAGGUUUUCGGAUCGUAAAGCUCUGUUGUUAGAGAAGCGGUAACUAAACAGAAAGGGACGGCUAACUACGUGCCAGCAGCCGCGGUAAUAC